rnacentral:ribozyme from 14 species
UCCCACAAAAGGACAGACAAGACUCGCUAGAAAAAAAAAUAAGAAAAAAAAGAGGGAAUGACCAAGCAAGACAGCGAGUUGUAUAUGCUGUUCUCUCUU